CCUCCGCCGCCGCCGCCGCCUCCCGGACGCGGCGCCCGCCGCCCGCGCCGAGCCCCGGGCCGCGCGGUGCCAUGCUGCCCCGGCGGCGGCGCUGAAGGAUGGCGACACCCGUCCCUCCGCCCUCCCCGCGACACCUGCGGCUGCUGCGGCUGCUGCUCUGCGGCCUCGUCCUCGGCGCGGCCCUGCGCGGGGCCUCCGCCGGCCGCCCGGAUGCAGCUGCCUGUCCUGGGAGCCUGGACUGUGCCCUGAAGAGGCGGGCACGGUGCCCCCCAGGCGCGCAUGUCUGUGGGCCCUGCCUUCAGCCCUUCCAAGAAGACCCACAAGGGCUCUGUGUGCCCAGGAUGCGCCGGCCUGUGGGGGAGAGCCUGCCCAGGCCCCGAUUAGAAGAUGAGAUUGACUUCCUGGCCCAGGAGCUGGCCCAUCAGGAGCCACAGCCCCCCAUGCUCGCUGCCCAGCCCCAGCCUGACAAGGGACAGCAGCACCUGGAGCCUGCAGCCACCCUGGGGCUCUCAGAGCGCCGCCAGGGCCCCAACCUGGGCACCUCCUCUACUGGGGGAACCCCUGCACCCACACCCCACACCUCCUUGGGCCCCCCCGUGUCGUCAGUACCGGUGCACAUUUCCCCCUUGGAGCCCCGGGGCGGGCGCGGUGACGGACUCGUCCUCGGUAGUGCUCAUCGUGGCGAGCUCGGUAGCCGGCGCGGCCGCCGUCGCCGUGGCCGCUCUGUGCUGGUGCAGGCUGCAGCGAGACAUCCGCCUGACCCAGAAGGCCGACUACGCGGCCCCGCAGGCGCCCGGCUCCCCCGCCACGCCCGGGAUCUCGCCUGGCGACCAGAGGCUAGCGCACAGCGCCGAGAUGUACCACUACCAGCACCAGCGGCAGCAGAUGCGGUGCCUCGAGCGGCAUAAAGAGCCGCCCAAGGAGCUGGAGUCAUUGUCCUCAGACGAGGAGAACGAAGAUGGUGACUUCACCGUGUACGAGUGCCCGGGCCUGGCCCCACUGUCCUCUUGAGUCUGAACCCCCAGUGAGGGGCUGGGGAGAACCCUAGAGACCAGGCAUGGAUGAGGAAUCCUGGAAACAAAACCAAUUAAAAUACGUUUCAAACCUGUCAUGUUGGCAUGCUAGAGACUGACCUCCAUCCCAUCAUUUGGGGUGUGGUGCAUGGACCCUGUAGGGGAGGUCUGGGGCUUCCUCCUGCAUGCCCAGAGAUGGUGUCGGGGGGUGCAUGUCUGUGCCCUGCUUCUGCUGGGAAGGAUCUUCUCACCCCCUGCUGGGGAAGAGACUUCAUUUUUCUUCCAACACAGAUCACCCCUAUCCUUUCCUCCUGUAGGCCUCUCCCCUACUGAAACCUCUGUCUCAAGUAGGGAAGGGAGAAGUAAAGUACAUGGCCAGGC